GAAACAUCCAUGUUUAUGAAAGUUGGAGGUGACGUCACUCUGAUUUGUCUAAAUGUGAUAGAUGAGCAGAAUAACUGUGAUGGUACUACGUGGAUGUUUGCUUCAAGACACAAACAAACAACAGUAGAGCUGAUCACACAUGGACAGAUUGUUGAAGAAGCCAAAACUAAAUCAGACAGACUGAGUGUUACAGCGAACUGUUCUCUGCUUAUAAAGAAGCUCACAGUUGAGGAUGUUGGUUUUUAUUACUGUCAACAAUACAAAGUCAAAGAAACACCAUCUAAACACACUCUGGUUCAUCAGUCUCAGGUUCAUCUCUCUGUUAUUACCUUGACUGAACAUAAGGACACUGAUAAGGUGACGUUAAGCUGCUCUGUGGUGACACAUGCAGAGUGUCAUCACACAGUGAAGUGGCUGCUUAAAGGUCAAGCUGUGGACAAAGAGAACAAACAAAUAGUGACCUCACAGACUGACUGCUCCACCACUGUGUCUAUUCUGAAGUAUUAUUAUUUAUACUCAUCACGUCAUAAAAUACUGAAGUGUGAAGUGACUGAUGCUAAAACAGGAAAAGUGCAGCUGUUUACCUUCAGCCAUCAGACCUCAGGUGAGGAAACAGGUGUCCUGUGGUUCAUCAUUCCAGCUGUGGGUUUGGUCUCACUCUUGAUAGUUGUUGUGGUUUUCAUCAGAUGGAAGAGAACUAGAGGAAAUAAAACACAGAUGGAUGAAGAUACUGGACUGAGUUUAAACCCUGCAGAGACUCAGUCUGCUCCUCAAACCAGUCAGGACUCGGUGGAUCCUGAAGUUUCCUACGCUACCAUCAGCUACACCAAGACCAACAAUAAAGUUCAGGUUCGGGGUGAUGAUGAAGGUGAUGCAGUGACCUACAGCACUGUGAAGGCUCAUUCCUCUUCUGCUGCAGCCACUGCUGAUCCCAGCAGCCUCUACUCGACUGUCACUUUUCCACUCACAUAGUUAAAGUUGACAAAAAGGACUCACAUUUAAGUUAAAGACUAAUUUUGUUUUGUGUUUGCAUACAGCAGAUUGGUAGCAACAUGCUAAUUAACGUAAAUGAUUAGAUAGAUGCCACUAUUAUAAAAAAUAUUGGGUUUCAAAUCCAGAAUCAUGUCUUUAUAUCCUCCAUUAAAACUAUGUAACUAAAUGUAAAUAGAAACUUUUUCUUAAUUUUCUUAAUGAAAUCAGACCAGUGUGUUUCCAUAAUGUGAUCCAAGUGUGAAUAUCUAAAUGCAAACAAACCAAAAGCCUUGUAUAGAUAUUAAUGAUAUAGUUAUAUGUUUAUAUUUUAUGAUAUUUCACAGGAAAAAAAACUUUU
ensembl:lncRNA